rnacentral:rRNA from 1 species
UGGGGAAUUUUGGACAAUGGGCGAAAGCCUGAUCCAGCCAUUCCGCGUGCAGGAUGAAGGCCCUCGGGUUGUAAACUGCUUUUGUACGGAACGAAACGGCGCUUUCCAAUACAGAGCGCUAAUGACGGUACCGUAAGAAUAAGCACCGGCUACCUACGUGCCAGCAGCCGCGGUAAUACGUAGGGUGCAAGCGUUAAUCGGAAUUACUGGGCGUAAAGCGUGCGCAGGCGGUGAUGUAAGACAGAUGUGAAAUCCCCGGGCUCAACCUGGGAACUGCAUUUGUGACUGCAUCGCUGGAGUGCGGCAGAGGGGGAUGGAAUCCCGCGUGUAGCAGUGAAAUGCGUAGAUAUGCGGAGGAACACCGAUGGCGAAGGCAAUCCCCUGGGCCUGCACUGACGCUCAUGCACGAAAGCGUGGGGAGCAAAC